GACGAACGCUGGCGGCGUGCCUAAUACAUGCAAGUCGAACGAGAGCGACCGGUGCUUGCACUGGUCAAUCUAGUGGCGAACGGGUGAGUAACACGUGGGUAACCUGCCCAUCAGAGGGGGAUAACAUUCGGAAACGGAUGCUAAAACCGCAUAGGUCUUCGAACCGCAUGGUUCGAAGAGGAAAAGAGGCGCAAGCUUCUGCUGAUGGAUGGACCCGCGGUGCAUUAGCUAGUUGGUGAGGUAACGGCUCACCAAGGCCGUGAUGCAUAGCCGACCUGAGAGGGUGAUCGGCCACAUUGGGACUGAGACACGGCCCAAACUCCUACGGGAGGCAGCAGUAGGGAAUCUUCCGCAAUGGACGCAAGUCUGACGGAGCAACGCCGCGUGAGUGAAGAAGGUUUUCGGAUCGUAAAACUCUGUUGUUAGAGAAGAAUAAGUGCUAGAGUAACUGUUAGCGCCUUGACGGUAUCUAACCAGAAAGCCACGGCUAACUACGUG
rnacentral:rRNA from 1 species